AGGUAGCUGUGGCUUGUUCUGCUUCUCUGAUCUCCCAGCAUUCAGGUUUGAUUUUAUUAAUAAGACGAUUUAAGAUUCCUGCUACAGGCACCCCCCAACCUGAUGGUCCACUUUGCAGAUGGGAAAGCUGAGGUGGGGAAUACUCCACUGCUUUUGCUAGGCCCUGACAGUCUGUGAGUCUUAGCUCUGGGCUGCCCCCACCAAGCAAGGCAGCCAGGAAGCUCAACCCCAACUCUAUUAGGGUGCUACAGGCAAAUUCAGACACCUGAAGCCAGGGCCUUGGAGCAGGGAAGGAUGGAGACAGAGAAAAGCCCUUUUCCCAUGGCAUGUUAGCAGAGCUAUGUCACCACUCCUAAGCCAAGAAACAGGAAAAGAGCCCCAAGGAACUGAUCAUCUUCCUGGGGAGGAAGGGUGGGAGAGGGCGGGUUCCCCACCUGGUAUGCCUGGGGAAGGUCCGUGGGGAAGAGCACUCCUCUGCCUCAGAGCUUCCUCACCCCAUGCUGCACUCUUGAGCCCUUGAGCUAUGAAUAGCUAAGUGUAGGUGGUCUGGGGGAAGGAAAGACUUUCUCAAGUCUCUCCGGUCUCCCGAGCUGUUCCAGCACACAAGCCAAGCCUGGGGUAGUCCUGAAGUUCCCCAAUGCGGAGGAAAGAGGGUGACACCCAGCAUGCUUUGAGUUCAAGCACUGCAACCAUCGGACCGUGGAGAACACAGAGAGGACCCCCUGCCUCAGCAUCACAGCGUUUCCCAGAUGCCAUCUGGAAGAGACCUCAACUACCCAAGGGCAAUCAAAAUGCCUGAAAGCAGAUCCAGGGUUCAUCUCUCUCAGCCAGCCUUGGAUUGAUUGCUACUGUGUAGACUCCUGUGAGAAUGGUCGCCCUACUCUGGGCUACUGUGGUGUCUUCUGGCAUUCUCCUCUUCACUCCUUCGGUCCCUCUGCUCCUACAUAUGGUCCUACAUAUGGGACACUAGACAGGCUGCCUGCCAGAAUUUUCCUGAAAUCCCCAGAACUUGCCUAGGAACUUGCCUUAUAAAGUCAAUCCUCUAUCUC